AGCGGAAUGACGACGCUGGAUUAACACCACUAAACAACGUAAAUCGGUGUGAACCGCUCUGACCGCAGCCCCGUACUUGGCGGAGCUCCAAAGAGGCACCGGUGCAGCUUCUGUCACUACUCCAGUGAUUACACGGCUAAUGUGAAAAUGCACACGAGAAUUCACACUGGAGAGAGACCUUAUGUUUGCCAAGUGUGCUUCAGGGGAUUUUCGCAGAAGGCCUCCCUGGACAGACAUUCGGAAGCAGUUCACGAGUGCCAGAGGAACUACCCGUGCUCCGUCUGUCGGUGCGCAUUUAAACAGAAGCAUCAUCUACAGCGUCACCUGAGAGUACACUUUAAAUAAGGGUGGAAGACUUACGGAUUAUGUCUGCGUGAGUGUACUGAUGCUCUCCGUUGCGCCAAAAUGUCUUCUGGUGUUGAUGUCAUUGGAAGAACUUUCUUUUUAUUAAGCUUCCUGUUCCUAAAAUUCUGGUUACGUAAUCAGUGAAGAGUGCCCAUGUCGCGUUUCUGAUUAUAUUCGACAGCGGUUCGCGAAACAAGCCUGCACGACGUUCAAUAUUUUGUUUCAUCUUUUUAACGUUACUGUCUGUCGCGUGUGCUCACUCAAACUCAUCCCCGCUUUGUGCAAUACUGUUUCAGCAUCUGAAGUGUACCGCCGGGUACCUAGAACCGGAAGUACUAAGUGUCGAGUGAACGAGGCAGUAAGACACUGAAUUAAAAAUACUGCAUUCGA